ACACUGAAUUGGCUGAGUGAUUUCUUUUCGCAAUCGAGUUCUUUUGCAACUGCGCGGCGCCGGUGCCGAAAACCUCCUGGCGGACUUAAUGCGCCUCGCGCUUCUAUCUAGUUUACUCUCAUGUCAGUAAUACGAUGUGCUUGAAUCUUUGAAGAUAUUCAAAGUUGUUGUUGUUUUGCUUCGAAAUUCUGACAGUUCCAUCUAAUAAAAUUAUUUUUUUGUUGUUCAAGAAUUAAUACUUGUAAAUACAACAAAAAUUAUUGAUCAUGCGCGCACCUUAAUUUUCUCGUAUACUAUGUAUACAAUUAUUAUUGGUAUGUAUUGAAAUAUAUAUGUUAAAAGUAUUCUGAAAGUUAAUUUGAUAUGUCCUCAGUUUUCUAUAUCAAAAACGUGGACAUCUGUUGCUAUAGAUUUAGAGGCGUGCAAAAAUAUUUCUCCAGCGUGUUGGCAUCCCUGACCACAGCUGUAGGAUGCAGGUCUAGACAUGUCAAAACAUGUAAGUGUGUGAAAUAAGUGAUAAAAUUCGUAAUUGUAUCAGCAGUACGGAAUUCACGAAGUGGAGAAGAGUGGUAUUCAUUUACUAGAUCAAGGACUGCACUCUGGAGCUAGAGAAGAAUGUCUGAAUCGCUGACAAGCAACAAUACCGUGGGAAAUGACUCCGUCAGAUUGUGCUCGUCGUGUAAUAGCCGGCGCCGACGAAUCGAUAAUCGCGAAAAUGAAAUGCGUCUUCAGAGAAGGAAGCGACGAUGAAAAAGUUAAGUUUUCGCGACCUUUCAUUGAGACAGAAUUAAAUAAGAGUGAGAAGCAAAUGAGACAAAUAGCUUCUAACAAAUCCAAUAUUAGAUCUGCAAGGCUGUUGAAGAAAAGUGAAGAGAGCCUGAAAGAACAUAAAUAUCACCUCACCUUGAAGACACUGAACCAAGCACUUGCUUUUGCAAAGGAAAAGGAAAUAAUCAAGAAAAUCGAAUCUCAAAGACAGCAUGUUCUUGCAACGUCAGGACUGAACAGCGAGAUUAAUUUAAAAACUGGUGACACUUGGGACUACACAGAGGAAAAAGAACGGAAAAAUUGUUUAAAGUGGACGUCCGAGAUGCCAAAGUUAUUAAUGGGUAAGAACAGAGAAAUCGGUGCAUUUAGUGCUGCAGUAGAGCUUCAAUACAACGAGGAAUUUGGAAGGCACCUCAUUGCGUUGCAACCUAUUUCACCAGGGUGCGUAAUUGGCGUCGAGCUGCCGUUCGCCAACGUUCUUCAUUCGUCCUGCAAGUACACUCACUGUUCGCAAUGCCUAGCGAAAGCUCAUUUUCUGAUUCCCUGCCAAAAUUGCGCACAGGCUAUGUACUGCAGCGAGUCGUGCCGCGCGGCGGCCUGGUCUGAACACCACGCGGUCGAGUGCCAAAUCGCUGGCCAGCUUCGGACAGCUGGAUUGUCUCCGGUGGAUGUGCUCGCUGUCAGGGUGCUUAGCCUCUCCAAGCCAGACGAAAUACUGCGCUGCCAAGCUGGCGGCAAACGCAAUUCACGUUGUGCCGGCUUUAGUUCCACAGGACGAUUUGAGUCUGACAGCCUGCACGCGUUUAUGCACAUACACUGCAACCCGCAAGGCUGGACUUUUGAGGAAACGCUGAGGCAGCUCGUCACGGCUCUAGUCAUCUUACGCGUUUACGGCUUGGACAGGCACCCCCAAUCGAUUCAGCUCGCGGCUUUUGUACUGCGGAAUUUGCAGAGCAUUCCACAGAAUUCGCACGAAAUUGCUGAAAGGUGCAAUUGCAAUGGAGAAAAACUGUCGGACCACGGUAUCGCACUAGGUAUGUUCUCAGCUUUUUCCCUCGUUAACCAUUCCUGCGAUCAAAACGUUGCGAAGCAAAAUAUCGGUCGGCACUCCAUCAUGCGUUCAAUAUCGCUGAUAAAAAAGGGCGAUCAGAUUGUUGACUCCUACGGCCCGCACUUCAUUGCAGAAUCUUUCGAAACGAGAAACAAAAUUCUGUACUCUCAAUUUCGGUUUAAAUGCAAUUGUGAAGCCUGCGAGAGGAAUUGGCCGACGCAGAGAAAUCUGCCUUGGUCCCUGCCAUUCGAAUUCGGGGAAGAAAUCAGGGAGGCUGUGAGGAAGUACCUGGAGAAGAGUGAAGUGCAGCGAGAGUGGGUGGAAUUCUUGGAGCGAGCAGUCGAGAUGAUAUAUAAAAAGGGCAAGCGAAUGUGUCAGCUCUACUUUGUAUUGCAACAAAUGUUAAAGAUAUUGUAUGCGUCUUCCAAUAUUGUUGUUUGUCGGAGAGAUAUGAAUAUAUGAAGAUGACAGGUGAAGUUUGAUUGAAAAUGAAUUGAAACAAAUGAGAUAAAUGUGCUAAGGAAAAACAAUCACAGUCGCAGAUAUAAAUGAGGAAAUCUUUAUCAAAAGUAGCAAAUUUAUGCUUUUUGCUAAUGAAAACAAGUACUUUUCAUGCUAGUCUGCACUUUAAUGAAAAAUGUUUUAUUGUGAUGAUUUUAUAUUGAAGCAAAAUUGUUAAAUGGAUAGGAAUUUUUUUAUUAAUUGAUAUGGUUUAUUCUUUUUAUGCAAUUGUAAUUACCCAAUUUUCUUUGAAAUUUUCUAACAGAAUAAAAUUAACAAGUAUACAACAAAAACUGAAUUCAGCAUUUUAGAUUGUUUAGGCAAAACCGUUUAUUUUGACUUGAAAGAAUCUCAAAGUACACACAUGACGCCAGGAUUUCGCAGUGGCAUCUCUCGAGAUGAUUUGUGUCUGGCCGCUGACACUAACCAUCCGUCGCUAGCACAUUAUGCAAGAAAUGAGAUCCGCCUUGAAGGAGCGUGCUGCUGCAGUGGCGGGGCACUUUGGGGGAGAAAAAUUAGUGCGUCUGGAAGAGAUAAACACCAGCGAGUGACAGAGAGGCCUUCGCAGCCAUUUGGCCGGCACUUCUCGCGCAUUUCCCCGCACCCAACAGCAGCAAAAACACAUUGUGGCUGCUCUUAUUUAUAAAAUUAGUCGCCGCUUUAAACACUGCGCAAAAAUAGAGAGAGAGAGAGCAGGAAUUUCUUUUCUCGUCGACGUUCCUCACUUGAGUUGACAAAUUCCUUUCGAACUGAGAGAACCGCGAAGCCGAUAUCUAGCGCGCACGAGACAAAGCAAAUUUCUCCUUGUUUCAAUUUGCGUGCAAGCGGCAAAAAUUAAUUUGCUAUCACGUCGCAAGCUUUAAUUACAAACACAUUUCUGUGGUCGUUGACUCUUUGCUCGCACUCAAGGACCGAAUGAGCACCAGCGUAGUUUGCUGUAGUAUUUUUUAUGUGCUCUGGAUUAAACGAGCUCCUUUCGAGUUUCACACAAGCGGCGCCGUGGGAUGUCGCGACUUAAUUUACUAUUUAAAUUACCAUCGUAAAUUGCGAAUCCUUGUUAUUUAUCCGCUUCUCUCACUCUCAGCAAAAACGACGUAGGGGACGCUUUGAGAGCUCCAUUGAGUUACAUGGUGAGAAGAAAAAGUGGCUGUAUAUCAUGUGGCUUUUUGCGGAUUAAUAUAACGGACGCACGCGCGUGUGCUGGUUUUAGUAUCGUCUGGGAGGCUUUUGAUUUGUGGAAGUUAAUAAAAUUAAAAAAGUAAAAAAUAUGAGGCGGGUGAAUAAAUUGCCGAUAAAUCAGCAUGACGAAGUUAAAAUUAAAUUAUAAAAUAGCUAAAGAAUUUUUCUUAGUUUAUUGACAUCAAAGAAAAUUAAGUUUUUAUAGUACUUUCAGAGUGUGGGAAUCGCUUGCCAUUUCGCCGACUGAGAUGCAUAAACAAAUUAAUUAUUUAAGACAGGUAUUUACUAUAUAUAAAGAUUUUAAAUUGUUAACAUUAAUUUUUCCAUCAAAUAAAAACAGUGCAGCACAACCUUCGCGUUUUUUCAAUGAAACAAUUAAUUUACCUGGCAGACUUUCGCCCCCAUCCCAUAAAACUAACUUUUGGAUGCGUCGAGCAAGCCACUAUAAUUCAUUUUUAAUAUCGCAUGUUGGUGGCCAAUUCCAGCGUAUAACCAAUAGCAUUUAACAACUUUUACGGCUUUUCCCUGCGUGCGUGUCCUCUCUUUAUGUCACGAAUACCAGAUCCAACCGUGGGUGUUUACAAGAGAGUCUCCCUGGCCCUGGCAAGUAGUACACACGGAACCGCAAAGAGUCGGGAGCAGAGCUGCGUCGACAUUCUCACGUGAUGGUACGAACGCAUCGAAUACAUUUCAGGAGAAUGUAAAAAUGCCCUGCUCGUGCAAUUAUUACAAGUCGAAAUUGGUCUUCUUUGCGGCGUGCAUAUUCAAAUUGGUGCUGAUCAACUGCGUGUGCCUCUACACGUGUCACUUAUUGAACAUCGCGCCCCAGCAGGACGAGAAUUUCGACAAUGGAGGCUCACUGGUGCUGUUCUUCGCGUAUUUGACUUAUUUAAUUUUGGUCACCACCCUGAUUGAGAGCAUCGUCAAUAUUGUCCUGCCCACUGAGUGUUCUUGUUACAGAGGUGUCCCGCGGCUGGAGUACCCCGCCGAAUUCUUGGCCCAGUUGCAAGCCUUGGGCGCCAACGACUCGAUGUCGCCGCAUGCGCGCCGCCUCG